UCGUUGUGUCUGUAAUACGUACA
rnacentral:siRNA from 1 species